AUUGAACGCUGGCGGAAUGCUUUACACAUGCAAGUCGAGCGGCAGCGCGGCCUUCGGGCUGGCGGCGAGCGGCGAACGGGUGAGUAAUGCAUCGGAACAUGCCCAGUCGUGGGGGAUAACACUUCGAAAGAAGUGCUAAUACCGCAUACGUCCUGAGGGGGAAAGCGGGGGAUCGCAAGACCUCGCGCGAUUGGAGUGGCCGAUGUCAGAUUAGCUAGUUGGUGGGGUAAAGGCCUACCAAGGCGACGAUCUGUAGCUGGUCUGAGAGGAUGAUCAGCCACACUGGGACUGAGACACGGCCCAGACUCCUACGGGAGGCAGCAGUGGGGAAUUUUGGACAAUGGGGGCAACCCUGAUCCAGCCAUUCCGCGUGAGUGAAGAAGGCCUUCGGGUUGUAAAGCUCUUUCGGCAGGAAAGAAACGGUGGGCUCUAACAUAGUCCGCUAAUGACGGUACCUGAAGAAGAAGCACCGGCUAACUACGUG
rnacentral:rRNA from 1 species